AGUUGGAGAAAAAAUUGUUCGUAAAGUUUUCUAUGUGGAUGAAAAUCUCUGGAGGGAACUCAGUUGAGGAGGUGACAUGAACUCGUCGUCACGUGAAGGAACUACUUUCGCGUGGCCACUUUCCAAUCCGUAAAUGAUGCUCGAAUGAGGCAGCAGGCAUGGAAUAAGAGUUUGACAGCGAUAGUCCAUGAUGGGACUAUUCUGAGAUCCGGCUUCAGAUAAGCCUCUAUUUAUUUUUUCGCAAAUACCGUCCAGUCAUCGACCCACCAAGCGGAUUGCAUUGUUAACAAUGGCCAAAUUCUAUGAUCCACUUGUUCUAAUAACCCCAAUCUCUAUGGAGUGCUAAGGUGAAAUGCCAGGACAAUUCUUUCGUCAUGGGCGGAGUUGACUUUACAGUUAUCACGAUUCGUAAUGCAGCCUAGAGCUUCCGUUCAGUAACUGAACUUCAGUUCCAUCGAUUUUGCGAUGCUAUCAGCUUAUGGAUCGUGCUUAUUCUGUCAUAAGGCAGAGACCAGAAACAAUUGUUCAGGAGAAGAUUCAUCAGUCUUCGAGGCAUUCUACGUACUAUUUGGAGUGAUAACGCUAGAAACUUUGUUAGUGCCAUGAGCGAGCCGAGCGGCGAGAGCUUUUCUUGAUAGCUAGACAAUGACAAAUGGAUAGGCACAGGCGUCCAGACUCACAAAAUUUACAAGACUAAUAAAAUUAUGCAAAAAACAUUAAAACCGGGUAUAAUUACAAUUGGAAGAUUCAAAUAGUUUCAUGCCCAAGACGUCGCCAAAUUUAUGGCCAGUCAAGACUUCCUGUUCCCGGAUUGGCUAUAAGUGACAUCAAGGCGGCCCAUUGAUCAGCGUAAUGAAGAGGCCGACGAUUCCCUAAUUGCUGUUGCCAGAAGUCCCACUACUGCCUAUAAAGGCUCAGAUGCAGUCACGCCCCAGAAGAUGAUGAUGCGGGUGAGCUCUUGGCUUUGGAAGGUCCUAAAGCUAGCAGUCAUAAUGUCAGUUCAUAGAUUACAACACCGGUCCCUCCCAAGUGUUGAUUAUGGAUCUAUGGGAAUAAUAUACAUAUAUGAAAUCCGUAAAAAACUUGCAACCAUUUGUCUUUUCAUGCCCUCGAGUGUCUGCUCAGAUGUGGACGUGGACGUAGAUUUGUGGCUGGAAAAAGGAUGCGAGAUUUCCUCCUCGUCUGACAAACUGACGGACUUGGAUGACUUAUCUGUUCGUCUAACUUCAGUUCCGUCUGAUGGCUCUGGCCGAAUCGACUGAACUCCUAAGACGGCUGGUACUGAGGCAAAAACUU
rnacentral:lncRNA from 1 species